rnacentral:rRNA from 1 species
UACGAAGGGGGCUAGCGUUGCUCGGAAUCACUGGGCGUAAAGGGUGCGUAGGCGGGUCUUUAAGUCAGGGGUGAAAUCCGUGGAGCUCAACUCCAGAACUGCCUUUGAUACUGAAGACCUUGAGUUCGGGAGAGGGUGAGUGGAACUGCGAGUGUAGAGGUGAAAUUCGUAGAUAUUCGCAAGAACACCAGUGGCGAAGGCGGCUCACUGGCC